CAAAAAUAAGCUAGUCCCAGACUAAAAUGCAUGUUUGAGCUAUCUCAACUGAAAAUAUCCUGCUCUGACAUAUCUUAAAAUGUGUGAGUGUCAUUGUUCUGUGUCAAGAUGUACACCUGUAAUGUUUUCUUCUAAGGCAUUUUUUGUAAAAGUUGUUCAACUAUCUUAAUUUAACUGAGGCCUAGUCCUGUCUUAAACUAAGCUCCGUUUGUGAAACCGAGCCUAAAUUUAUUAGUAAUAUGUAUAGCUUUAUUACUAAAUAUAUUGAAAUACAAUUAAAAUACAAUAAAAUAUAUAACUUUAUGUAUAAAUGUAUUUUUAUGCAUAAAUGCAAACAAAAUAAUCUCAAGACAGACAUGAACUAAAUCCCCACCCGGGUUCUCAGUUUUAAAAUGGGUGGAGUUACCGCCAAUUGGGUACAAUUUGAUUGGCCAACCUAGUAAAGCUAAUUCCACACAGAUGCGUCUUUGUUCCUUUACCCUCUGUGUGUGAGGAAAGGCGUGUAGGGCGUGUUCUCUUCAGACGUACAGCAUCUCCGGCGUUCCUGUCUGCAAUAUGACUCGUUCCUUGAUUUAAUUAAGCACGAUGGUCUCGUCUGGUUACCAGCGCGACUUUGAUGCCUGUGGCACAGAUUGCAGGGCCAGAUCCUCACCCUGGACUGACUCAGUGACCACAGUCUCGCCCCGGAAAAAAGACAUGAACCAACAGGAGUCUAAACGCAAGAAUGAAUUUAGUCACCGCAAGGUGAGGCUGAAACCAAGGCACAUUUUUCCUUCAUAAAUUUUAAAAUGCAAGAGAAAAUUUCAGGAAAAACCACGUGUCCCUAUGUUACUUAAAACUGAACAAAUAUAAUUAGGAUUCUCUCUCUCUCUCUUUAUACAUUUUGAAUAAUGCUGAAAUUAUAAAGAUUGAAAGUUGUAUAUCCAAGACUAACCCUACAGACUAACUAUUACAUAAAUCAAAUAAUUCUGUUAUGACAUCAUCCUUUCAGGAAAUGAAACACUUUUUAUGAUUUCAUAUUAUGUUUUUAUGUUUGUUUCAGCAGAAGGUGAAAACACUUUUACCAUGAUUUUUAUAUAGCAAACUGUAGCAAAUAGUUCUAUUACUAGUGAAAAUGCUCUAAAGUCAUUUCAGAGUAGAAGAGAUGUCAAAAUUAUUUAUUAUUAUUAUUAGUCACUGUUUUGUUUGCCUAUAUUGAAACUUUGGGGAAGGCAAGUAUAUUAAUACAGCACAUUUCAUACACAAUUCAAAGUGCUUUACAUAAAAAUAAUUAAAAUAAUCAUAAAAGUAAUCACAGCAAUAAAUAAUGAAUGAUUUAAAAAUUAAUUUAAAAUGAAUCAAGAGUUGAGAAUAAAAGAUAAUGAUGCAUAAAAUACAGUGCAAUCAGUUCGGAUAUAACUUUAGAAAUAUUACACUACUGUUCUUUAAGAUUUUUAAAUGUUUCUGAAAUAACUUUCUUAUGCUAACGAAGGCUGCAUUUAUUUGAUUUAAAAUAUUAUAAAUCAGUAUUGUUGUGAAAAUAUAUAAAAUGAGAAAACUUUGAUGGUAAAGUUGAAUUUUCAUUAUCAUUGCUCCAGUCUUCAGUGUCACAUGAUCCUUCAGCUUAAGAAAUAUUUCCUAUUAUUGGCAAUGUUGUUAAACGGUCUGCUUAAUAUUUUUGCAAAAACCAUGAUAUAUAUAUAUAUUUUCAGGAUUCUUUGAUGAAAGUUCAAAAUAGGGUUGUCGCGAUAUAACGGUAUUGACGAUAACCGUGAUAUUCAAAGCAACAAUUAUCACUAUAAUUUAGUGUGUGACGAUAUACCGCAUUAUUUAAAAUGAACUGCUCUCUUAUGAUAACACCACAUGUAAAUACUCCAGUGCCAGUACCUGGUUGAGCUCCCAGGUGGCAGUAUUGUGCCUUAACGCUGACACCUGUCACACAAGAAGAAGAGCAGCACUUGCAGCUACUGUUCAUCAGAGUAAGUUGCCAUUAUUUUACUAGUCAUAGAAUGGGAAACGUUAUAUUAACCUGUUAACAGCGGUUUUCUGUGUUCAUAUAUUUAAGUAAAAGGUGAUUAUUUUAAUAAGUACCACGUUUUCUUUACUCGUCUUAUUUUUGUUUUUGCAAUUAAUAUGGCCUGUGCCUAGUAACACUGUCUUUGUUCAAAUCUAUUAACAGUUACACGAUUAAAACUGAUCUUGAAAAACUGAGCAACCACAUUGCUAGAUUAAACUUGUAAAAUGUUAAGUUGGUCUCAGUGCCAUGCACUUAAUGCCUCAUCUGUGGUCAUUCUUACCUUAGUUAACAUAUAUAAAUAACUUAAAUAAUAAUGAACACUAUUUCCACAGCAUUUAUUAAUAUUAGUUCAUAUUAAUUUCAGCAUUUACUUAUGCAUUAUUAAAAUCACAAGUUGUGUUUGUAAACAUUAUGAACUAACAUGAACGAUGAACGAUUUUUAUUAACAUUAACAAAGAUUAAUAAAUUGUGUAAUAAAUUAAUUGUUCAUUGUUCAUGUUAGUUAAUACAUUAAUGUUAACAAAUGACAUCUUAUUGUAAAGUGUUAUUAAUAUUUAUUCAUCAUUCUGUUGAACUUGACAGUAUUUUCUCUCUUGUUAUAUCAUAGGAGCUUCAAAGAAGACGGAGAAAGCCAGAGUCUUGUGCCCUGCGUUUAUUAGUAUCCUUAUGUUCGUUGGGUGAAAAAGAAAAACCUGAUAAACAAAGUAAAAAAUAAUUUGACUGAUAUCUUCCCCCCCACAAGGUUUCUAUAGAUAUCACAAUAUAUCAAAAUCGUGAAUUCUUAUGGCCACAAUAACCGUGAUAUGAAAAAUCUAAUAUCGUGACAGCCCUAGUUCAAAAGAACAGCAUUUAUUUGAAAUUGAAAUCUUUUGUAAGAUUAUAAAUGUCUUUACUGUCAUUUUUGAUCAAUUUAAUUCAUCCUUGCUCAAUAAAAGUAUUAAUUUCUUUUUUUAUAUAUAUAUUUCUGACCUGAAGGGUUUGAACAGUAGUGUAUGUGAAACAUUCAUCCCAAUUAUGCUGACAGUUGAAAGAGAUACAAGAGAUGAAAAAGAGCUAGGAAGAGAGAAAUAAAAUCAGGAGAAGUGAAAAUGAAAGGGGUCUCAAAAACACAUUACGUAAAUCAGCAGUCAACUAAGCUGGAUUACAUGAUGCUCUCAUAUUCACAUUGCUACAUGUGUGAAGCUAUUCAGCCUUCGUCCUGCUUUUAAAAAAUAUCAUACACUCACAAACACACACAGCACAGAAGACCACCUGACCACUACAGUCACCUUCAAAUUAGAGCGUACCGACUAAGAGCUACUCUGAAGGUCUCUGAAAAUUGUUGGUUUCUGGGAAAAACAAUGUGUGACGUGAUCCUUCACUUUUAUUAGUCCCUUGCAACCCUUCACAAAUGCACACACAGGUUUAUAGGUUGCUGUUUUCACAGACAGGUGGUGAUUUGAGUGCAUGUGAGUGUGUUUUGCACAGUCGGGGACAAUUUUGCUGCUGACCGUGUUUGUGUGAAUUGCUUGAAGGCAAAGUGGAUGGUUAACUGGUGUAGUAGCAGUGAUUUUCAGGACACUAACAGGUGGUUUGGCUGACCACCCCAUCACACACACUCUCUCUCCCGCAGAGAGGGACAGAAAGUGGUCUUAUAGCAGUUUGUCAGCCUGGGUAUUUAAUCCAGUACAAAAAGCUGUGUGUACAGUGACAGCAUGUCACAGCUGCUUACACACACACACACACACACACACACACACACACACAUGAGCCUGAUGUGCACAGCCAGAUUUAUCAGAAUCAGAAUCAGAAUCAGAAAGAGCUUUAUUGCCAAGUAUGCUUGCGCAUACAAGGAAUUUGUUUUAGUGACAUAAGCUUCCAGUACACAAAAGACAACAACACACAGUCAAAAAAAUAAAAAAUAAAAACCCUUUGCAGAUAAAUAAGUGUAUAAACAAUUGUGCUAUAAAUGAUAAUGGAAUUGGAUUGAGUAAGAUGCAGGGAUGUACUAGGAUGAAGGGGUAACAAAUAAAUAUAAGGAUAUUGCACAUUUUUAUUGUAUAAGUGGGGAACAUUUAACUGUUCAUGAGGUAGAUUGCCUGGGGGAAGAAACUGUUCUUGUGCCUGACUGUCCUGGUAUUUGCAGCUCUGAAGCGCCGGCCAGAUGGCAAGAGUUCAAAGAUGGGGUAACUUGGGUGUGAGGGAUCCAGAGUGAUUUUCUGAGCCCUUUUCCUCACUCUGGAUGUAUACAGUUCUUGAAGGGUGGGCAGGGGAGUACCAAUAAUCCUUUCAGCAGUCCGAACCGUUCUCUGUAGUCUUCUGAUGUCUGAUUUUGUAGCUGAACCAAACCACACAGUUAUUGAAGUGCACAGGACAGACUCAAUGACGGCUGAGUAGAACUGUUUCAGCAGCUCCUGUGGCAGGUUAAACUUCCUCAGCUGGCGAAGGAAGUACAGCCUUUGUUGGGCCUUUUUUUAACAAUGGAGUCAAUGUGAUUGUCCCACUUCAGGUCCUGAGAGAUGGUGGUUCCCAGGAAUCUGAAUGACUCCACUGCAGCCACAGUGCUGUUCAUGAUGGUGAGUGGGGGAGUGCAGGGGGUUUCUUCUGAAGUCCACGAUCAUCUCCACUGUUUUUGAGCGUGUUCAGCUCCAGGUUGUUAAGACUGCACCAGACAGCCAGCUGCUCAACCUCUUGUCUGUAAGCAGACUCGUCACCGUCCUGGAUGAGACCGAUGAGUGUGGUGUCGUCUGCAAACUUCAGGAGCUUGACAAAGGGGUCUUUUGAGGUGCAGUCGUUGGUGUACAGCGAGAAGAGCAGGGGGGAGAGAACACAUCCCUGAGGGGCACCAGUGUUGGUGGAGCAGCUGUUGGACAUGAAUUUCCCCAGUCUCACUAGCUGUUGCCUAUCUGUCAGAAAGCUGGUGAUCCACUGACAGAUAGAACUAGGAACAGAGAGCUGGGUCAGUUUGGUCUGGAGGACUGUUGGGAUGAUGGUGUUGAAAGCCGAACUGAAGUCCACAAACAGGAUCCUCACAUAAGUCCCUGUUUUGUCCAGAUGUUGCAGGAUGAAGUGCAAUCCCAUGUUGAUUGCAUCAUCCACAGACCUGUUUGCUCGGUAAGCAAACUGCAGGGGGUCCAGUAAGGGUCCAGUGAUGUCCUUCAGAUAAGCCAGAACCAGUUUUUCAAACGAAAAACUGAGAAAGAAAGAAAGGGUUUAUUUUAUGGUCCUUGAAAAAACAUGUUAAUAACCGCUAUGAAAUUCAGGUAUUAAAUCUGUAACUCUGACACAGUUUUGUAUGUCCCUUUAAAAAAGUACUGUAUUGGAACUUGGAAGACCCUUUUCACUUUGGAGCUUUGUGUAAUUUGUAAUGAAAACUGUGUUCACUAAACCAGGAUUCAUCAAGUGCGUUUUUUUGUGUAACUUAAUAAAGUUUUCAUUUUAAAAUUAUUUAAAAU
ensembl:lncRNA